AUAGACAGAGUAUAACGUAGCGGUCGCAACACUCCGUCUCUUUUCUUGCUACUCACUGCGAUCGCAGCGCUCCAAGUGGUCAGCAAGCGACACUUUUGAAUAUGAUAACAGCUAAUGGAUCUUCUGGCACGGAUUGCGGACUUCGAAAUACCGGACCAAGUUAAAGCCGACGCGACAGCCAUUCCUUUCUAGAAGAUGCGUUUCGCUGUGUUAAAAAAAACGGCUGAUUAAUCCUGAAAGAGAAAAAAGAAGAGAAUGAGAACGCGUAAGCGUCGUGUCCGAGACGGAACGGGUGUGCGUGGAGUCCGGGGCUAAAAGCACGUCACUGUCCACCUACGCUGCCUCCGACGCUCCAGCACAUCCGACGCCACCACGGACGCUGUGCCAUGCGCUGAUUUUUAUGCAGUGCACUGUCGCCGACAAUAUACUGAUGUACUUGUGGACCCCUUAUCCAUGAGAAAUAAAUACUC